AGUUUGAUCAUGGCUCAGAUUGAACGCUCGGCGUGCNAGCCUAACACAUGCAAGUCGAGCGGCAGCACAAGUAAGUUUACUUAUGAGGUGGCGAGCGGCGGACGGGUGAGUAAUGCCUAGGGAUCUGCCCAGUCGAGGGGGAUAACAGUUGGAAACGACUGCCAAUACCGCAUACGCCCUACGGGGGAAAGAGGGGGACCUUCGNGGCCUCUCGCGAUUGGAUGAACCUAGGUGGGAUUAGCUAGUUGGUGAGGUAAUGGCUCACCAAGGCGACGAUCCCUAGCUGUUCUGAGAGGAUGAUCAGCCACACUGGGACUGAGACACGGCCCAGACUCCUACGGGA
rnacentral:rRNA from 1 species